rnacentral:rRNA from 1 species
AGCGAACGCCGGCGGCAGGCCUAACACAUGCCAGUCGAACGAACUCUUCGGAGUUAGUGGCGGACGGGUGAGUAACACGUGGGAACGUGCCUUUUGGUUCGGAAUAACUCAGGGAAACUUGUGCUAAUACCGAAUGUGCCCUUCGGGGGAAAGAUUUAUCGCCAUUAGAGCGGCCCGCGUCUGAUUAGCUAGUUGGUGAGGUAACGGCUCACCAAGGCGACGAUCAGUAGCUGGUCUGAGAGGAUGACCAGCCACACUGGGACUGAGACACGGCCCAGACUCCUACGGGAGGCAGCAGUGGGGAAUCUUGCGCAAUGGGCGAAAGCCUGACGCAGCCAUGCCGCGUGAAUGAUGAAGGUCUUAGGAUUGUAAAAUUCUUUCACCGGGGACGAUAAUGACGGUACCCGGAGAAGAAGCCCCGGCUAACUUCGUG